GUGCUCGUUUCGGCAGCACUUCUACUAAAAUUGGAACAAUAAAAGUUAACAUGGCUCCCGCACAAGGAAGA
rnacentral:snRNA from 1 species